GACGAACGCUGGCGGCGUGCUUAACACAUGCAAGUCGAACGGAAAGGCCCUGCUUUUGUGGGGUGCUCGAGUGGCGAACGGGUGAGUAACACGUGAGUAACCUGCCCUUGACUUUGGGAUAACUUCAGGAAACUGGGGCUAAUACCGGAUAGGAGCUCCUGCUGCAUGGUGGGGGUUGGAAAGUUUCGGCGGUUGGGGAUGGACUCGCGGCUUAUCAGCUUGUUGGUGGGGUAGUGGCUUACCAAGGCUUUGACGGGUAGCCGGCCUGAGAGGGUGACCGGCCACAUUGGGACUGAGAUACGGCCCAGACUCCUACGGGAGGCAGCAGUGGGGAAUAUUGCACAAUGGGCGGAAGCCUGAUGCAGCAACGCCGCGUGCGGGAUGACGGCCUUCGGGUUGUAAACCGCUUUCGCCUGUGACGAAGCGUGAGUGACGGUAAUGGGUAAAGAAGCACCGGCUAACUACGUGCCAGCAGCCGCGGUGAUACGUAGGGUGCGAGCGUUGUCCGGAUUUAUUGGGCGUAAAGGGCUCGUAGGUGGUUGAUCGCGUCGGAAGUGCAAUCUUGGGGCUUAACCCUGAGCGUGCUUUCGAUACGGGUUGACUUGAGGAAGGUAGGGGAGAAUGGAAUUCCUGGUGGAGCGGUGGAAUGCGCAGAUAUCAGGAGGAACACCAGUGGCGAAGGCGGUUCUCUGGGCCUUUCCUGACGCUGAGGAGCGAAAGCGUGGGGAGCGAACAGGCUUAGAUACCCUGGUAGUCCACGCUGUAAACGGUGGGUACUAGGUGUGGGGUCCAUUCCACGGGUUCCGUGCCGUAGCUAACGCUUUAAGUACCCCGCCUGGGGAGUACGGCCGCAAGGCUAAAACUCAAAGGAAUUGACGGGGCCCCGCACAAGCGGCGGAGCAUGCGGAUUAAUUCGAUGCAACGCGUAGAACCUUACCUGGGUUUGACAUGGAUCGGGAGUGCUCAGAGAUGGGUGUGCCUCUUUUGGGGUCGGUUCACAGGUGGUGCAUGGCUGUCGUCAGCUCGUGUCGUGAGAUGUUGGGUUAAGUCCCGCAACGAGCGCAACCCUUGUUCACUGUUGCCAGCACGUUAUGGUGGGGACUCAGUGGAGACCGCCGGGGUCAACUCGGAGGAAGGUGGGGAUGACGUCAAGUCAUCAUGCCCCUUAUGUCCAGGGCUUCACGCAUGCUACAAUGGCUGGUACAGAGAGUGGCGAGCCUGUGAGGGUGAGCGAAUCUCGGAAAGCCGGUCUCAGUUCGGAUUGGGGUCAGCAACUCGACCUCAUGAAGUCGGAGUCGCUAGUAAUCGCAGAUCAGCAACGCUGCGGUGAAUACGUUCCCGGGGC
rnacentral:rRNA from 1 species